GUGCUUGCUUCAGCAGCACACAUACUAAAUUGGAACGAUACCAAGAAGAUUAGCAUGGUUCUUGCUCUAGAAGCAUUCCAUAUUUUU
rnacentral:snRNA from 1 species